rnacentral:piRNA from 1 species
UUUGCCCUCAUCUCAAGAGUCUGCCUG